rnacentral:rRNA from 1 species
ACUCCUACGGGAGGCAGCGGUGGGGAAUUUUGGACAAUGGGCGCAAGCCUGAUCCAGCCAUUCCGCGUGCAGGACGAAGGCCUUCGGGUUGUAAACUGCUUUUGUACGGAACGAAAAAGCCUUGGCUAAUACCCAGGGUCCAUGACGGUACCGUAAGAAUAAGCACCGGCUAACUACGUGCCAGCAGCCGCGGUAAUAC